UGAAAUUUAACAGUAACUGAUCUGACUUCUAUUGACUUGAUAUGUUAUACAGAAAUGGAAAUUUCGGGUUGUCACAUCAUCCCCUCCUUAGAAGGAAUUUCAUUCCGAAAUUAGAUUUUAGGUGAGGAAAUAGGCACGAAUAAACAAUUCAAGAAGUGGGGAUACUUCUUAAUUGAUUGAUUCUCGCGCUCCCAAGUGAAUUCGGGUCCUUGGUUGGCAUCCCGACGGACCUUCACAAAAGGGAAACGACUAUGAAUCCUUCACCUGACCGCUCGGUCCAUGGUCACUAUGGUUCUUCUACGCAAGUGAGGUUCUUGUGGGACUCGAUCUCUUCGAGUGAGAUUUAAAGAGUGUCGUCGGAUCGAUACCUUUUUACAAGUUCGAGAGGUGAAGGGUAAAAUGUACGUUACUAAGCUUGCGGUGUAGGUUGGGUUUGUGAGUUUCAGGGUCGAUUCUGGUUUCAGGAGUCGCACUAGGUUCUAAGUUUGUUCACAUGACGAUGCGAUUACUCAUAGUCUUGGGCAGUCUCCGUCCUGAAGUUCAUAUUAGAAUUCAUACAUGGUUCAUCGAUCAUAGUCUCGUGUAUACGAGUCGUAUAUAAUUAAGUUUGAAGAGGUAGUCGAAUAAAUGCUUCCUGUUUAAUCUCACAUCCCAACGAGGAAAAGAGUUAAAGUGAAAUCAUCAAUUCUAAACCUGUAGAACCUUGAUUAUAUACCACCCCUUUGCAUACAUUUUUCAGUGAUAGAUCAACCGUAUGGGUCUUUGAAUUGAACUUAACAUACUGUACGAGUGGUACCUCGGGAAGGUUUGAUGAGGUUUCUUCGGAACGGAUAAGAACAUGAGGUACUCCAUGCAUGAGUACUCCGGUGUUCUGGGAUGGCGGCUUCACUAGCAAGACGAUUGCAGAGAAGGAGAUGUGCGCACAAAGUUGGUAUUGCGAGGAUCGAAUUGACUCAAGUUGUAUGAUAAUGUCGGAAUCAUAUGGAAACUAAAGACAUUAGAUUUGAACAUAAGGCAUUACAAAUAAAACACAACAGUGCAACCUUUAACAGAGUUACUGCACUUUAGUUUAACUACAAGACUAUUGCUGCGAACAAGGUAUACUACAAAAGACAAGUAUACGCAGCAAGAGGAUCCCUUAACUGACUGGAUCUCGCAAAAGGUAAGACUCUAGUUACACUAGUUCUAAACAGUUUAUAAGUCUGUUACAACGGAACGCCUUAAUUACUUUAACAUGGGUCCUGAGUAGUCUCUCCUACGGCGUGAUCGUUAGUAUCCUUCCAUCUGUGCCAGUAUUCUCUGCUUCUGGGCAGUUUCUUUUGUAGUGACCCACCUUGCCACAACCGUAGCAAGCCUGGAUCAUACCAGUGCUGGGUACUUGGUUGAUCGGUCUUGCGGAACUCUUGCAGUAACGUAUGGUGUGUCCCUUUUUGUUGCAGUUUAAGCAUUGCAUCUCUCGACAAGGUCCGUGGUGGUGAUAGUUGCAUUUGUUGCACUUAGGGAGAUUACCCGCAUAUGGCUUUGCUGGUAUUGGGUUAGUAGAGGCUAUUGCAGGUACUGUAGCAACAUUGACUGUAACUUGUUGUUGUUUCCUUGAGGAUCCUUGUGAGGACUUGUCUUUCCUCUUGUUCUUGUUGUUGUUUCCUCCUUGUUGAUCUUUUACAAAAAAUUUUGAGUUACGAUGGUUUCCGUGGUAAAUCAGAGAUUGUGCAAGUUCUUUGGCACUAUCGAAAGUAUCGGGCCUUGAUGCUAACACACUUGACUGAAUUUGGGGAGACAAUCCCCAAAUAUACCUCUCUAAUUUCUUUCUCUCUGGAGCAACCAUAUCCGGGCACAGGUUUGCCAAAUCACAAAAUCUACCCGUAUAGGUUGAUAUAUCGGUACCAACCAUUUCCAGACUCCAGAGUUCUUGUUCGAGCUUUUGAACUUCCCCUCGAGGACAGUACUCUUUCAUCAGCAUGAUCUUCAAGUUUCCCCAACUUAUUGAAUUUGCCACUACUAUAGUCAGGGACAUAACAUGGCCAUUCCACAAAGUUAACGCUCUGUCGGAAAAGGUACAAGAAGCAAACUUGACCUUGUUGCCAACAGGGCAGGCGCAGAUCUCAAAGACUGCUUCUGUCUUUUCAAUCCACUGCCUUAGGACCAUAACCCCACCAGUUCCAUUGAAGUUUUGGGGUUUAGCAUUUGUAAAAUCCUUGUAGGUGCAUUCCAUGGGAUGCCCAUGGCUCUCAUCGUGGUGAGAAGGAGGUGCACUCGUUCCUGAUCCACUAUGGACAUGACCAUUCAUGGCUGACACGACAACUGCCACCGCAGCUAUGAAGGCUACUUGGAAAAUGGCAGCGUCGAAAGGAGGAGGUGGUUGAGGAGGUUGAGGAGGUGGUGGUAUUGGUGUUUCGUUAUAAGGGUUAUGCCUUGGAUUCCUGCGAGGCGGCAUCUUUUGAAUAUACAAAGAAAAGAUGACAACAAGGUAAGAAUAAACGAAUAAGGAGAAUGACUCAUGGACUAACAAUCCAUAGUCCAACAGCACCAUUUAAUAACACAUUUGAAUGAGAACCUAGUAUCGAAAGGUGAAAGAAUUUGGACAAUAAUGUCCAUACGAUUUGGUAUCUUUCAAAAAUAUUGGAAUUAUAGAUGUAACAAGUUCUGGAAAGGUGGCCUAAGAGUAGGCCUUUCGUAAAUCAUUGAUUGGAAAGUUUUGACAGGACAACGAUCUAAUCAAGACCUAAUAGAUCUAAGAUUUACAACGAUAGGAAAUUAGACCAGAGUUUUACAUAAACUAGGUUAUAUCCGAAGGAGAAGUCGAUGAGAUUCUAUUGGCGACGAGAACUAUCAGAAUAGUCUUCAGUUGAGUGAUCAUUCGAAGGGAUUGGGUGAUCAUUCUCUGGAUCCUCUCCGAGCCAUCCUGUAUUGUCGUGGUUAGGGUAGUACGGGUUGUCGUGGGGAUGAAAUUCAACCAUGAUAUCUACGCGAAAAAGAGAUAAGAAGAACUAACUAAAUAGACGAACUAACUUAGAUAAUUAUAAGAUGAUCCUUAUCAGUUGCUUUAACACUUGUUUAGUGCAUACCAGUUAUAUGUAUUUAGGAUAGGAUAGACCUUCGAAUAAGUGACCCUAACCCUAAGCCCCCAACCCAACGAGGACAGGACAUAAAGCAAAGAUUCACAUAUUCUAAGUCUAUGACAUCCUAGUACAUAUAACCUUAGUGUAUCCACUAAACGACAAUUGACAUACUAAUAAAAAUCUAUUUAGUUCUCAAAUAAGUAAUUACAGUAACACUAAAUACCCCUAUGGUAUUUCUUUUGUGGUUGUGUUGGUAAGUUUUUAGACUUGUUGACACAUCACAACCAUUCUUGGGCAUAUGCUAAUCACUCCUCGGACCAACAUAGUUGAUCAGGAUAUGCCACUCUUAAGACUGACUAUACAUCCCCAAGCUUACUUGUGAUAUUCAACAAUCGUAAUACUUUUGUUCUUGUCAUUGUGACACCGAUUUUAGUAGGAAUGCAGGCACGUAUACUUACUUAAAUAUUUUAUUAUUUAAAAGUAUAAACUUUUAGUCAAAGUAUUUUAAUCGGAUUGUUUUUAUAGUCUGUAUAUCUUUUAUGGGUUGAUAUACUCAAUUCACUAUAAACAAUGCACUGAUACCAAUCUGUCACACCCCAAAACCGAGAACGACAGAAACGUUCUGGGGCGGAGGACGUCAUGUAAUGUAUCACAACAAUGUAAAGUAGUAAACAAGCAACAACAUCAUCCAUUGCAUUAAUAAUAUAAUUUUAGUUACAAGUGUGUUCUUUCAUAGUAUAAGACAACAAAAUGAACAAUCAAAAUAAAAGACGAGUCUGAACUGCUCCGUCUUCACAAAACCUGGUCGUCGUACCUGUCUAUUUGUGACCUGAGAAUACAAGUUAUUUUGAAAGCGAGUAUCAGCCAAAAAGCUGGUGAAUUCAUAAGUAUUAAUGUGUCUUUGAUUUGUAAAACUUGGAAUGAAAGUCUUGACAUUGUUUUGAAAGAAAGUUCGUACAAGUGUGGAAAUGUUUGUAAGUAAUGGAAAGCGUUUGAAAAACCCUAGAAAUCCCUAUGAUUCCUAUUAGUAUAGAUGAAAUCUUCUACCAAGACCUAAUUGUUUUGAAAGUAACAAAGAUGGUUUUUCCCUUGUAUGACUACUAUUAACAAUAUAUAUAGUCUACCUCAUAGUUUAUGUGAAUGUAUCACAAAAUAAAAGUAAUAGGAAAAAUAUAGCUAUGUAAGUGUUUAUCCUUUUGUAUUAGGAUCAACCCGACAUCGCGACCGCUGAAAUAGUAAUAACCUUGGACGUUCGUAGAUGUUCAUUUUCCUCUGUAGCUAACAGCAGGGCGUAGGAAUGGUUAGUCCCGUAAAGGUACCCUAAUAUAAGUGUUAACCAUAGGCAUCCGUUAAUGUUCAUUACCUCUGUUGCUAAUAGUUGGGUGUCAGAAUGGUUAGUCCCGUCUAGUAGUAGGUAGUCUUCUCACGAGACCCGCUGUAAGUAAGUAAUAAUAUGAUUGGUAGUCCCUAUUCUACAUUUGGAACUAAAGGUGACUUCUGCAACGAAUCGCUAGGUCGAAAUCCAUAUUUAUUACCAAUUCAUAUAUAAGUCCAAACUAUACCAAUAAUAGCUUACUAAGGAUAUAUGAACGUAUACCUUUGCUAACCAAAGGUCCUGAACUGACUGACUAGAACUAUUAUGUCCGUAUACAUAUACAUGAUAUAUAACUAAUAUUUAGACAACCUUCGGACAGAUACCCGAUACCCUACCAGACCACAUCCCAACGAGGAAAAGGAAAUAAAGCGGGUUAGCCUUCCUAAGUCCUUUAAACAUUACUUAUAUAACUAUACAUAUACAGGCAUGCUUUUAACAAAGUAUCUAUGUAAAGGUAUCUAAGUAAGUGUAUCCAUGUAAGUGUACUCAAGUAAGUGUAUCCCUUCAUAUAUCAUUUAGUAUAGACUCAUGAAUGAUCUGACUCGGGUGUAUUCCUUGUACAUGGAAUGGUAAGUAGUAUCUCCUAAAGUAUUAAUCCUAGAAUACUCAAACUUAUUCCAAAAAGUCUGAAAUUUAACAGUAACUGAUCUGACUUCUAUUGACUUGAUAUGUUAUACAGAAAUGGAAAUUUCGGGUUGUCACAUCAUCCCCUCCUUAGAAGGAAUUUCAUUCUGAAAUUAGAAUUUAGGUGAGGAAAUAGGCACGAAUAAACAAUUCAAGAAGUGGGGAUACUUCUUAAUUGAUUGAUUCUCGCGCUCCCAAGUGAAUUCGGGUCCUUGGUUGGCAUCCCGACGGACCUUCACAAAAGGGAAACGACUAUGAAUCCUUCACCUGACCGCUCGGUCCAUGGUCACUAUGGUUCUUCUACGCAAGUGAGGUUCUUGUGGGACUCGAUCUCUUCGAGUGAGAUUUAAAGAGUGUCGUCGGAUCGAUACCUUUUUACAAGUUCGAGAGGUGAAGGGUGAAAUGUACGUUACUAAGCUUGCGGUGUAGGUUGGGUUAGUGAGUUUCAGGGUCGA
rnacentral:lncRNA from 1 species